rnacentral:rRNA from 1 species
CCUACGGGAGGCAGCAGUGGGGAAUAUUGGGCAAUGGGCGCAAGCCUGACCCAGCAACGCCGCGUGAAGGAAGAAGGCUUUCGGGUUGUAAACUUCUUUUCUCAGGGACGAAGCAAGUGACGGUACCUGAGGAAUAAGCCACGGCUAACUACGUGCCAGCAGCCGCGGUAAUCCGUAGGUGGCAAGCGUUAUCCGGAUUUACUGGGUGUAAAGGGCGUGUAGGCGGGAAAGCAAGUCAGAUGUGAAAACCAUGGGCUCAACCUGUGGCCUGCAUUUGAAACUGGUUUUCUUGAGUACUGGAGAGGCAGACGGAAUUCCUAGUGUAGCGGUGAAAUGCGUAGAUAUUAGGAGGAACACCAGGGGCGAAGGCGGUCUGCUGGACAGCAACUGACGCUGAGGCGCGAAAGCGUGGGGAGCAAACAGGAUUAGAUACCCCUGUAGUC